rnacentral:rRNA from 1 species
GACGAACGCUGGCGGUGUGCUUAACACAUGCAAGUCGAACGGUAAGGCCCUUUCGGGGGUACACGAGUGGCGAACGGGUGAGUAACACGUGAGUAACCUGCCCUCAUCUCUGGGAUAACAGUCGGAAACGGUUGCUAAUACUGGAUAUGAGCUUGCAAGGCAUCUUGUGGGUUGGAAAGAUUUUUUUGGUUGGGGUUGGACUCGCGGCCUAUCAGCUUGUUGGUGAGGUAGUGGCUCACCAAGGCUUCGACGGGUAGCCGGCCUGAGAGGGCGACCGGCCACAUUGGGACUGAGAUACGGCCCAAACUCCUACGGGAGGCAGCAGUGGGGAAGAUUGCACAAGGGACGGAAGGCGGAUGCAGCAACGCCGCGUGCGGGAUGACGGCCUUCGGGUUGUAAACCGCUUUCAAUUGUGACGAAGCUUUUUGUGACGGUAGCAGUAGAAGAAGCACCGGCUAACUACGUG